AGUGAACGCUGGCGGUAGGCCUAACACAUGCAAGUCGAACGGCAGCACAGUAAGAGCUUGCUCUUACGGGUGGCGAGUGGCGGACGGGUGAGGAAUACAUCGGAAUCUACUUUUUCGUGGGGGUUAACGUAGGGAAACUUACGCUAAUACCGCAUACGACCUACGUGUGAAAGCAGGGUAUCUUCAGACCUUGCGCGAUUGAAUGACCCGAUGUCGGAUUAGCUAGUUGGCGGGGUAAAGGCCCACCAAGGCGACGAUCCGUAGCUGGUCUGAGAGGAUGAUCAGCCACACUGGAACUGAGACACGGUCCAGACUCCUACGGGAGGCAGCAGUGGGGAAUAUUGGACAAUGGGCGCAAGCCUGAUCCAGCCAUACCGCGUGGGUGAAGUAGGCCUUCGGGUUGUAAAGCCCUUUUGUUGGGAAAGAAAAGCAGCAGGUUAAUACCCCGCUGUUCUGACGGUACCCAAAGAAUAAGCACCGGCUAACUUCGUG
rnacentral:rRNA from 1 species